rnacentral:tRNA from 2 species
GUGCCUGUAGCUCAGCUGGAUAGAGCGUCUGACUACGGAUCAGAAGGCCGGGGGUUCGAAUCCCUUCAGGCACGCCA